CCUACGGGUGGCAGCAGUGGGGAAUAUUGCACAAUGGGGGAAACCCUGAUGCAGCGACGCCGCGUGAGUGAAGAAGUAUUUCGGUAUGUAAAGCUCUAUCAGCAGGGAAGAAAAUGACGGUACCUGCUUAAGAAGCCCCGGCUAACUCCGUGCCAGCAGCCGCGGUAAUACGUAGGGGGCAAGCGUUAUCCGGAGUUAAUGGGUGUAAAGGGAGCGUAGACGGCAGCAUAAGUCUGGAGUGAAAUGCCGGGGCUGAACCCCGGAACUGCUUUGGAAACUGUGCAGCUAGAGUGAGGGAGAGGUAAGUGGAAUGCCUGGUGUAGCGGUGAAAUGCGUAGAUAUUAGGAGGAACACCAGUUGCGAAGGCGGCUUACUGGACUGUAACUGACGUUGAGGCUCGAAAGCGUGGGGAUCAAACAGGAUUAGAUACCCGAGUAGUC
rnacentral:rRNA from 1 species